ACAGGUUUGACUAGGAGUAGAAGUUGCAACUGAAGUAAUCUGUAUGGAAGACUUGGAAAUAACUAAGUAGUGGAAAAGUUUGAAGUUGAAGGAUGGUGUUAAAUUCAUGGCAGCUCCAGUUGAUCUGUUGCAACUGUAUUUCAGAAUUUUCAAAAGUUGAAGUUGUUACCGGAGCUUAACCAGAAGUUGAAGUUGUCACCGGAGCUUAACCAGAAGUUGAAGUCAUUUAGUAGAAGUUGGUUUAUGGAGGUAGAAAUGCUCAAGUAAUGAUAAUGGGGCCAUCAUAUAAGGAAAUCCUAUAUUCCUUUGCUUGUUCCAGUGUGUAAGUCUUUGGAUUGCUGGUUUGAUGAACUUCGUUGGAGUUAUUUUGCUAUGUAUUGCUGUUUGGUAUGCAUUCCUUUGUGGUAGUUGAUGGAAAUAUCAACUAAAAAUGUAGUUUGCAGCUUUAAAAAAAAAAAAAAAAUUGAACUAUUUUUUUUUAAUA